CCCCUAGAUGUUCUGGGCCGCACGCGCGCUACACUGGUCGAUGCAACGAGUUUCUUUCCUUGGCCGACAGGCCUGGGCAAUCUUUGAACAUCGAUCGUGAUCGGGAUAGAUUCUUGUAAUUUUUGAUCUUAAACGAGGAAUUCCUAGUAAACGCAAGUCAUCAGCUUGCAUUGAUUACGUCCCUGCCCUUUGUACACACCGCCCGUCGCACCUACCGAUUGAAUGGUCCGGUGAAAUCUCCGGACUGGCGUGAGUCGGAGCAAUCUGACAAACGCCGGAAAGUUGAUUAAACCUUACCAUUUAGAGGAAGGUGAANUCGUAACA
rnacentral:rRNA from 1 species